UAUGCAUUUGGUUUUCUUCACUAAUGUACUCAAAAAGAAAACCAAAAAAAACAAAAAAAACAUGUCAAAUGAAUGUCUUGUAGCUUGGUGUUUUCCCCCGGACUUGUCAAUCCAACGCAGUUCACUAAGAGCACAAUCUAAUUAUCUUUACUGUUAAGAAAGUGCAAGCUUCUGCAAGGUUUGAUGUGGUUAAGUACUCACAGUGUUUUAGUGUGUCUUUGAACUUCUAGUGUUUGUAAUCUAAUUUUCCCUGUAGUUUUUCAGUUCUCCAUUAAUAAUACCUAACAAAUUCCCUGUAAUUUUCAAGCCGAGUAGAGCUGGUUAAUUCCUAGAAAAUAGGGUGCAAUGAUAAGCCUAGCAGCUCCUGCUAGUGGCUAAGUACUUAGACUAAAUCAGAACAAGAACUGAACCCUGGUCCCAGCACAAAUUUCUAAAUGACUUGUUUUCCAAAGCAUCCACAAAAAAGAUGAAAGAAAGUGUUUGGGAAAAGAAACUGGGACAGACCUAAACAGGGAAAUGUGAAUGAAAACUGGAAAUUAUUCUAGAAAACUUUAGUUGAUGACUUAUUCACAAUCAUGAAAUUGUAGUUAAAGACUGCUCUGGUUAGAGGCAUUUCCUCACUAAAUGAGAAAGCAAAGGCAGCUAUUAAAGCUAUCAAAUAAACAGGGGUGAGGAGAAGAAAGAGGAAGGAGGCAGCAAUUACGUAAAUUGGAGACUGUGGAAAUAUAGAUAGAGGAGAAAGACCUGAGCAGGAGCAAAAGAAGUCUCUGUCUCACAGCCUAAGGACAGCAAGGCGUUUUAAAGGAUAACAGGAAUAAAAUAAUUCCCAAAAAUAGCAUAGCCUGCUUGCUAGCAGAAAAUUGGGAAAGUCUUAACGAUACAGGAAAGGCAGAAAUAUUCAAUAGUUCUCCUUUGUGUUUAGAAGGAAGCCAGCUGAUGUAAUCAUGCCUCAUGGGAAUGCAGAAGUACCUUCCAGCCCUCCUAAGUUGCUAAGAAAGAUGUUAAGCAGCAAUUAUAAAGAAUUGAAAGAAAAAACAACCAGCAUGCCUGGAUAGCACCAGUUAUGCAAAAGAGAACCAUGUGAGAUGAGAAGCCUUCCCUUGCUAUCUUGUAUUAAGCCUUUAUUCAAGAUUUUUAUUCAAUAAAGAAAACUUCGGGUUUUAAGGAGUGGUAACUCAAAAGCAAGGCAAGGUAACUUGGGUAAUCAUGACCCAGUUUCUUUGACACUAGAGGCAAAUAGUAUAAAAGCUCAGUAGAGAAAUCAACUAUUAGAGAAGGAAAAGGGAUAUAACAUAUUGUACCAAUUAUAAUGUGCGGUUUGGUUUUUGAGGGCCUGUUCUAAAAAUUUUGUAAAAUAUUUGAAGACGUCUAUUGCCUUACAUGUUUCCCUGCUCUAGUAGAUUGUCUUUUAGAGACUUAUCAAAUCCAGUGGCAUUCUCUGGUGGCUGGGAUUAGUUGGUGCCAUAGCUGGAUUUGGCACAGAUGUCAAGUGUUAGAGCUGGAAACAUCCAGGCUAGGAUCAACCUGUUGACAGCUGCUGAGAGAGUUCAAUCUUUUCGUCUGCGUCAUUUCUUGAGAUCAUUCAACUUUCUGUCACAAGGUGCAACCUGUCUCAGUUGAUCCAGUUUGGGUGUCUUGAUUCUAAUCAACAUGGUCACCUGCCAGGUAGAUUUGUCAGAGAAAUUUGCAUUGAUUUGACUUUAAAUGAUAGAUAAAGGUAACCAUAAUCAGUUUUUUAUCUGGUCUUUUUAUUAAUGUGUAUGUACAAUACAAGAGAAGUACAAUUUUUGACCACUAAGAGCUAUACCACUGAAAGGCAGUGAUUCUGCAGUGGAUUUAAGAAUUCUAAUGGAAAGAGAGCUGAAUAUGAGCUUUAUGUAGGACGUGGCAGUUCUGUAGUGAUGAUAGGAGCAAGGCCACAUUCACAAGAUUCAUUAGUUUAAUUCUGAAAUAACUUGAGAAACAAGCUGUCUUGUUUUUUAGCUGAGAAAUCCAGAAAAUUUGGAAAGCACAGAGGAAAAGAACUAUAUACAUUAUGAAAAUACUAAAAAAUGUCUUCCAAUGGGAUACUGAACGAGAUCUGAUACUUAUUCAUUUUUAAGGAGCUGAUCGCCUUAAAGGAAGACUUAAUUCAGAUUUAGUAAGUAGCAGAGUCUACCCUAAAACAACUUGGUAUUGUUGCUGGAGAAUGCAUAUUCAAAUCCUACAGCAGGAAGCAGAAUCUACAUUAAGUUUAAAUUAGAAAUGAAGGCUGUGAGGUAAUUUGCCAAGAGAGGGGGUAAAUUCUCCACCUCUUGAAACCUUCAUAUCAAGAUGUGAAACCUUAUAUGCUCUAGUCAAAUGCCAGUUACUCUAACUCUGUGCAGAAGAAGCAAAUGGUACAGCACCAGCCUUACAUGGGAGGUGACACUGAAUAAUUUAAUGAUCCCUAAGGACUCAUGUCUGUUACUCUUCUUGAACUUUUGAAAUGUAUGACUGUACAGUGGCAAACUGCAGUCAGCUUUUAUGCUGAUAUAGCAGCUAUUCUGUUACAAUGGGAGUACAGUUAGACUUAGGUUACUUUGUUAAAUUAAAUAAUUUACUCUAUAAUAAGCUCUGUUCAAACAGCUCUGUGGGAUCUGGAUAUUGAUACUAAAAAAAAAAGUGUGAGUUUAAGGGAUUCCAGAACCAGGAAGGACCUUGCCACGUGUUGAUGGUAAUGUACAUUCCUGUUAGAGCUGGAUUGUUUAAAAAAAGAGGAAGGCAUGUUUUCUCUGAAGUGACUUUUCCUUUGCUUUUGCCUAGCUUCCCGUCAGAGAACAGCACAUAUUCUAAAAUAUCUCCAACAUAUUUGUAUCCUUUAUUAUCUUUCUCUCUAUGAAUAAUGUAGCAUGACUUGAAAAGAAAAUAAACUACAGCAUUAAACAGACAGUGAAGGCAGCAUAUCAUUCAGAUCUGGUCAUAUCCUGACAUCAAAAGAUUUUUUUUUAAUUAAUUCACCUAACUUUUAUGAAAUCCCAAUGAUAUAGGUGGAGAGUUAGUAGGAUUGUGUAUGGCUUAAUGUCCCUUGAGAAAGGCUUUGAUGAUAUACUAAUGCUACUGUGACAGGCUGGCUGGGUUUUAAAUGAUAAGAGGAGAGGUAACAGCCUUAGGUUGUACUGGGGGAGGUUAGGUUGAAUGUUAGGAAAAAAAAAUUUCUUAGAAAGAGUGGUGAUGCAUUGGAACAGGCUGCCCAGAGAGGAGAUGGAGUCACUGUCCCUGGAGGUGUUCAAGAAUCGUGUGGAUGUGGCACUGAGGGAUGUGGUCAGUGGGCAUGGUGGGGAUAGGAUGAUGGUUGGAGCAGGUGAUCUUAGAGUUCUUUUCCAACCCUUACGAUUCUUUGAUUCUAUGAACAACCUGAAGAAUCUUCCUGUUUUGUCUUCCCUGUCAUGGUUACUUUGGUACCGUGCAACCACGGAACAGCACCUGAAAGUGCUACAUCCAGCUCUUGGCCUCAGCAUUGUGUGACCUUCCUUUCAACUGUAUGAAUAACCAGGAGCUCCAGAGGGCUGCAUGUGUGGCUCCAUGAGCUCAAUAACUUUCUGAUAAUUUGAAGACAGUGGCUCUGCUUCUGAAAGGCUACAGAGUGGAACUGUGGGGAUACAAGUUUGAGUUCAGUAAGGAAUGGAGAGCUCCAUGUCAUUGGAUCAGAUGGGUUUUACUGACGGUACAGUGUGCAGUAUCCCUGUGAAGGUGUUUUGUGGUGCCUUUCUUUGCACUUGCUACAGUCAGUUUCUCUGCAAAACUGAAAUGGAUGCCACUGUGCCUCUUAUUGCCUAUUCACAGUUUCUUAUGUCCUGUCUGGGCAACCUGAUACCACACCUUCUUUCAUGCUGAUGCUGAGAUAAUCAGAGAAGAGAUUUUACCUGGUAAUCCACUUUCUGAAGAAAGACUGCCUCAGAGAAUAUCUCUUCAGUUGUCAACCUUGAAGGCUUCCACUCAGCUGCACCUAUUACGUUUGAACGUAGUUAUGAAGCCUUUGCUCUCUUUCCCUGCCCUUCCUACCUUAAUUUUGUACAUCCUCCUAACACCUUACCUCCUGCAGCAGUUAAGCGCAGAAUGUGAAUUUCCCUCUGCUCACAAGUAGCAACACGUUAGUGUUGACUGUGUACGUAGUACAGGUGCCCUGGGCAAAAGGCAGACCAAAUGCUGCUUGGUAACAGAUGCAAUAUUCUCACAGUUUUGGGCCCACAGGAUAUUAUCUAUAGUGCAACCAAGAGGAGUUACGAAGGCCUAUCUGCCCUUCACGAUGCACUGGGAGGAAAAGCAGACCUUCAAAGGACAUAGAUCUUCCCAUGCAAAGAUUGUGAUCAGUAAAUCACAGCCUUCUCUUAGUCUCUGUAUUUCACUGGUCCUAAGACAAGCUUCCCACAGGUGCUGUUGCUCUUGUUUCUGCUGAAUCUGCCUUACAACUACACCCACUGGAUGGAUGAUAACAAAUGAAGAAGCACCUCAUUGCAUGCAGGGCACUGAUACAGCAUGUCUAUGGAAAUGGCUCAUACAGCAAGAGCAGUUACUCAGCUAGUUGCUGCCCCCUUAUUUCUCAGAGCAGGUAAGGAGAAUGGGGCUAGAGGCACUGUCUCCUGAUUGAAGGAUAGCAGAAUGCCAUUGGGAACAGUAUUCUCUCAGAUUAGUUGCGCAGGGCUCAUGGUAAAGCUGAAAAGACCUAUCAGUGUUAUCUGCACUUGCAUAACUCUCUUGGGGUUUAGUUGGCUGAACUUUACUUUUCAAAUGUCAUUUGACAACAUGUAAAAUAACAAAAAAAUAAAUAAAAGGGAGGAGGUCCAAAAAGCUGUGUUAGGGACACCAAAAACAAGUUCUCAUCAGAUAGGAAAAAACAGAGAGGAGAGCAGAGGAAGGAAAAAAAAUUGUUUUUGGAUCACAAUAAAGAGGGCUGUACUGUUAUCAUUUGCUGCCACAAAGGGAUGGAUAUAUUUUUUAAGCUAUUCUUUGCUGUCGGUGGCUAUGGAGACACCUUUCCCUGCAUCUGGCCAACCAUCUGAGUCAGUUGCUCCCAUAGGAGAGAUAAUGUCCCUGUUUGUACAUUGUGCAAGUGAGGCAACAGGAAGCGCUUUAACGUGACCCACUGGGCUCAGCCCCUGCCCCACCCUGGCUGUAAACACCUGAGUUCACCGCACAUUGGCCCAAGUCUGAAUCCUGAGCCCAUUCCCCACUCAGGGAUCCAGCAGAGAGCUGCCAUCUUGCCAUGACCCGGGAAAAUUACCACCUUAAGCCCCAGCUCAAUAACUGAGGGUGGUGCUUGGAGGCUUGUGGCUUGAGGUAGCACAGACGGGGCUGGAAAUGAAUCAGAGGACUGCUUGGCUUGAUAUUUCUAACCAAAAGCUAACUUAAUUAGUAGAUGCCAAGAACUGUUGCCAUCUGCUAUGGAGUUGCCUGAGCCCGGUCCUGAGUUCAAAUCUUUGCAUACGGACACAGAUCUGCAGCAUGCCUGCAAUGCCGUCCACAUCAGAGCUGCCAUUAGUUAUCUUUUUUUUCUCCAUGGUCUCAGCAGAAUAACUGAAUAUUAGGCUGAGAUAAAACGUUCCUUUUGCUAUACUUAGUAGCUCA